UACGGGGGGGGCAAGCGUUGUUCGGAAUUACUGGGCGUAAAGGGCUCGUAGGCGGCCAACUAAGUCAGACGUGAAAUCCCUCGGCUUAACCGGGGAACUGCGUCUGAUACUGGAUGGCUUGAGAUUGGGAGAGGGAUGCGGAAUUCCAGGUGUAGCGGUGAAAUGCGUAGAUAUCGGGAGGAACACCUGUGGCGAAAGCGGCGCACUGGACCACAUCUGACGCUGAGGCGCGAAAGCUAGGGGAGCAAACAGG
rnacentral:rRNA from 1 species